GACGUAGGGCGCGAGCGUUGUCCGGAUUUAUUGGGCGUAAAGAGCUCGUAGGCGGCUUGUCGCGUCGACUGUGAAAACCCGCGGCUCAACUGUGGGCUUGCAGUCGAUACGGGCAGGCUAGAGUUCGGUAGGGGAGAUCGGAAUUCCUGGUGUAGCGGUGAAAUGCGCAGAUAUCAGGAGGAACACCGGUGGCGAAGGCGGAUCUCUGGGCCGAUACUGACGCUGAGGAGCGAAAGCGUGGGGAGCGAACAGG
rnacentral:rRNA from 1 species